rnacentral:antisense_RNA from 1 species
UGGCUGGAGACCAGGGCAUGGGGAGUGCCCCUGAGCAGCCGUGGCUGGGGUGGGAGCAGGGCCAUGAUGGCUCUGGAGAAAAGUGGGGCAGGCAGCCGCCUCCCUGGGACUGAGGGGCUGCAAGGAGAAGUCGCACCCCUAUGCACGGUACCCAGUCCCCAUGGCCACCCUGGCAUUUCAGGCACCUGCUGUGUGCCAGGUCAGGCCCCAGACUGGCAUCCUCUCUCUCUGUGUGUACCUGCACCUGGCAGGAAGCAGCAGCGCCAUCUGGUUGCCCAGCAGCCUUGUCCUGCUCCCAGCUGCCUGUGGCCCCACCAGACUCAGCCCCCCAGCAGGGAGGCCUUCGGCUGCAGGGCAGGGGCUGGGCGGACGAAGCCUGUGGCUGGGGGCACUCAGGAGCCCUGGCUUCGCCUCUGCUCUCGGCACGCAUGUGGACAGCUCACCCUCCAGCAGGGAUCCGGACCAAAGUCCUUGGCCCACCAGGUUCUGAGUCCUGACAGGGCUGUUGACAGCUUCCCUCUCCACCCUGGCACCUUCUGGCAGGAGCCUCCGGGCCCUCACCCUGGGGCAGCGACUCCUGCACCACCAGCCACGCCCAGCCACAAGAAAGUGCAGAACAGCUCAGGCCCUUCUCACAACUUCCUGGAGCUCAGGGACAGGCAGCGUCUGGGUCUGGGUCCAAGGUGGUGAAUGUCACCACCACACCUGCCCUCUCUCGGCCUCGGGGCGCAAACUCAGGGCCUGUGUCCACUCUGUUCAGUUUUUUGGGCAUAGUUGGUGUUAGGUGACAGACUCGGGAUUGGCCUUGGACACUCAGCCCCCUCUUUCUGGAGUAAAGACUCAUGACCCACGUCUGAGUCUGACCGUGAGGCAGCCCUCAGGGAUGCACAGGACUCCCUGUCCGCACCACCAGGCAGCCGAGGCAGGUUUGGACCAGCUUCUCACACUCACACCUUCCUAGGGUUGCCCCAGGCCCUGCCCUGCUGACCCUGCAGCUAUGACCUCUGACCUGUGGAGGGUGGGAGGGACGAGCAGGAGGGAGAGUGGGAAGGAGGAAUGGAAAACAGAGACCCGGAAGGGAGGCUGCAGCCCCGACACGAACAGGAGCCACCACCAGGGGGGGCUGUGCAGGGCUCCCGGAGGACAGGACCUUCCAGGGCCUCCCUGCCCCGAACCCAUAGGUGCCAGGCUUCUCAGUGCUCACAACCCCUGUGCCGGGCUCAUACCUGCCGCGCCAGCCCCUCUUUAGCAGAGCACAAGUCUGGCAGCAGGAGGGCACCAGGCAGGGGCCCCGCGUUCCCGCCUCUGUACAGCAGGGCCACUGUGGGGUGACGUGAGAACACUGACCCGGGGAAUGGGCUCUGCCACGCCUGCCCGGGAACCUGGGCUGUGAGUCCUGCUCGCUGCACCCUCUAGCCUGACAUUGAAGUGACCUCGCCAGCGGGGCCCUCCAUGGCACUGGGCACUCAGGGAGAGCACGUGGCAUUGCAGAAGGUCCCACCCCCAAAUGCAAACCUGGGAAAGCCAGGCUGAGCCGGGGAUCAGGCCACCUCCUCAGGGACCCACUGCUGCCUCUUCCAGGAGCCCAGGAGACCCAGUGGGGUCUCCCGCCCCCGACUUCAACUCCCUCCCGGCAGGACACACCCCAUAGGCCACAGCCCAGCUCACAGAGGCCUCUCCAUCCUGGGAAAGGGAGGGAGAGGAGGCUCAGGCCAGGGACCCGCCCAGCUCUGGCCGGCAGCCGCCCAUCAGCCUUUGUUCCUGAACCACUGUGUGGGCCCCAGCCCAUCCGCAGCCUGCUGGAGGGAGCCCGUGGGAAAUGGACUGUUCUUGCCACCCCUGUCCAUGGCAAGGGAGGGGCUCAGCAUGGCCCUUUCCCACCCAGA